rnacentral:rRNA from 1 species
AUUGAACGCUGGCGGCAUGCUUUACACAUGCAAGUCGAACGGUAACAGGUCUUCGGGUGCUGACGAGUGGCGAACGGGUGAGUAAUGCAUCGGAACGUGCCCAAUCGUGGGGGAUAACGUAGCGAAAGUUACGCUAAUACCGCAUAAGCCCUGAGGGGGAAAGCAGGGGAUCGCAAGACCUUGCGCGAAUGGAGCGGCCGAUGUCAGAUUAGCUAGUUGGUGGGGUAAAGGCCUACCAAGGCGACGAUCUGUAGCGGGUCUGAGAGGAUGAUCCGCCACACUGGGACUGAGACACGGCCCAGACUCCUACGGGAGGCAGCAGUGGGGAAUUUUGGACAAUGGGCGCAAGCCUGAUCCAGCCCAUGCCGCGUGCGGGACGAAGGCCUCGGUUGUAAACCGCUUCUAGCCGGAAGAAAUCGCCAAGGCUAAUAUCCUUGGUGGAUGACGGUACCGGAAGAAGAAG